rnacentral:rRNA from 1 species
GUAGUCUCGCACAGAUGCAUAUCAAUAAGCGGAGGAAAAGAAACUAACAAGGAUUCCCCUAGUAACGGCGAGUGAAGCGGGAAGAGCUCAAAUUUGAAAUCUUAAAGGGUUUCCCUUUACGAAUUGUAGUUUAAAGAAGCGUUUUCUGUUGAGGUUUUGGUAAAAGUUCUUUGGAAUAGGACAUCAUAGAGGGUGAGAAUCCCGUAUUUGACCUUUACUUUCAACUUUGUGAUACACUUUCAAAGAGUCGGAUUGUUUGGGAAUGCAGUCCAAAAUGGGUGGUAAAUUUCAUCUAAAGCUAAAUAUUGGCGAGAGACCGAUAGCGAACAAGUACCGUGAGGGAAAGAUGAAAAGAACUUUGAAAAGAGAGUUAAACAGUACGUGAAAUUGUCAAAAGGGAAGCGUUUGACACCAGUGUUGUUUUUCUGAAAAUCAAUUAAAGAACUGUUUAUGCUAAGUUGUUUAGACUUUAUCAGCUAUCUGUUUAGUUUUGAGCUUUUCUUUAAUGCACUUUUCAGUUAACAAGUCAACAUCAAUUUCUUUUGCUGUAAAAAAGCUUGAGGAAGGUGGCUUGAGAUUCGUCUUAAGUGUUUAUAGCCUCUUGCCUAUGCAGUCGGAGAGAUUGAGGUCUGCAGCGUAGAUCCUUCGGGGCUAAAUGCAUUUGUGCUAAGUUAUAGCAUUUUAUAGACAACUUGUUGACUAUGAUUUGUCUUGUAGCUUACUCGCUUAUGUUAUUUUACCUACGCUUAGGAUGUUGACAGCAGUAUAGACUGU